CGGAGCUAGAUGCCCGCCGUGACCUACCGGUACCAGGCCCUCAAGGAAUCCCUCGCCGCCGCCAUCACCUCCUCCUCUUCCCCCCACGCCGCCGCCGACCCCCGCCGCCCCCACGCGCUCGCCGUCGUCUCCGGCCUCGCCGCCAAUGGCUACCUCGCCUCCCUCCUCGUCGCCCGCUACGCCCGCCUCGGCGACCCCGAUGCCGCGCGCGGCGUCUUCGCCGCCGCCGCCGCGCCCUCCUCCACAUCCCCCGCCGUGCCACCGCCCAAGCCGCUCCUCUACAACGCCAUGCUGCGGGCCUACCUCGCCCUGGGCCUCCCGCGCGAGGCGGCCUCGCUAUUCCGCGCCAUGCCCCCCGGCUGCCCGCGCGACCGCCACACGUACCACCUCGCCUCCACGGCCUGCGCGCGCGCCCCGGACCCCGAGCUCGGGCGCCGCGUCGGGGCAGCCGCCGCGGCCGCCGGGCUCGCGUCCGACCUCCUGGUGGCCACGGCGCUGGUCGGGAUGCACGCCGAGGCCGGGGACAUGGGCGCCGCGCGGAGGGUGUUUGACGGAGUGCCGCGCCCGGACGCCGUGGCGUGGAACGCGCUGAUCGGCGGGUACGCGCGCGCGGGGCUUCUGGGAGAGGCCGUGGAGAUGUUCGCCAGGAUGAGGUCCGCGGAUGGAGCGCGGCCAACGGAGGCAACACUCGUGAGCUUGAUCUCUGGUUAUGCCAGUUUCGGUCCUUGGAGGGGCAGAGGCAUGAUGCAUGGCGUUGUGGUUAAGUCUGGCUUCCACUGCAGCCUUUUCGUCUCCAAUGCUCUCCUGGAGAUGUAUGUGGAGUUGGGCUCUUUGAGCGAGGUGGUGACGGUGUUUCGGCAUAUGGAAGCGAAGGAUUCUGUUACUUGGAGCUCGAUGAUUGGUGGGCUUGUUCGGAAUGGAAAACCGGGUUAUGCUGUUAAGCUUUUCCACUGGAUGGUUUUGCAUUCAAAGGUGUUGGUCACACGGUCUAUCUUGCUUAACGUGAUUAUGGCCUGCGCCGAGUUGGGGAACUGGAGAGAAGGAAAAUGGAUUGAAGAAAACUACGUAUUGUGCAAUAGCAGUGAAUUCAAGAGAGAUCCCUCUUUAUUGACCGCAUUGAUAUAUAUGUAUGCGAAGUGCGGGCAGUUAGGUUGGUCUGAGAGUCUUCUUCAUGGUUCUGCCAAGGUUAGAAACGACGUGGUUGCGUGGAAUGCCCUGAUCAAAGGCUGUGGAGAACUUGGACAAACGGAAAAGGCAAUAUGGUUUGCAAUAGAAAUGCAGAGGAUGGGCAUUGAUCCGGAUGCUGUUACAUUCUUGGAGAUCCUACCAAUGAUCUCGCUAAUACCGUCACUGAAGAAGGGAAUGGAAGCACAUGCUCAGAUUGUCAAAAGGGGUUUCCAUAAUGAACGGAUGAUUGCUAAUUCACUUGUUUCCAUGUAUGGUCGGUGCGGGAGUCUUAGUCUUUCAAUUGGUGCCUUUACUGGGAUUAUGGACAAGGAUGCAAUCUCUUGGACUUCUAUGAUGCAGGUAUAUGCAUGGAAUGGACUUGCUGCAGAAGUUGUCAAGCUUUUUGAGUUGAUGAAGGAAACAGAAGUACAACCAAAUCACUAUACUUUUGUUGCCGUCCUGUCUGCCUGUAAAAACACGGGUCUUGUUGAGAAGGGAAUGGGCUUUCUUAAGUGCAUGAAAGAGCAGUAUGGUCUAGAUCCUCAUAUUGAGCAUAUAUCCUGUGUUGUUGAUAUGCUUUGUCGUACUGGGCGCUUGACUGAUGCAUACCACUUGAUCCAGAAUUCUCAUUCUGAACACGCAAAAAACCCUAUACUGUGGGGGACAUUGUUAAGUGGUUCCCGUUCAUGGGGGAAUUUGGUGAUUGGAGAAGCAGCAGCAAGGCAUCUUUUGUCCUUGGAUCCAAAAAACAGAGCUAACUAUAAGAUGCUGGCUGAUAUUUAUGUUUCACUUGGGAGAAGGGACAAUGCUGAUGAUGUCUUGAGACUGUUGAUCUCAAGAGAACUGGAUUUGAGACCAGGCUGUACCUGGACUGAAGGUGGCUAAAGACUGUGAUAUAUGCUAGAAGAUGUCUCGGUGCAGGCUUACAUUUUGUACGGAAGCAGGGCUGCUUCAGUGCUGGAUCAUCUUCAGGAGGUUGCUGUCCAAAGAUCAUCUCACAGCUCAUGUCCUCAAAAUCUGAAACAAUGAUUUGUCUCUCAGAUUAUCAUCUGAUGGAUAAGAAUAAAUGGAACUUACUGGGAGACAUGUAGACAGCCGUGCCGAGUGAAUCUUGGAUGAAUUUCUGGCAUGGGAUCUUGCAAAGAUUCGUGCACAUCCCAACACAGUUGGUGCUUUCCAGAAAUCUGUCAGAGUAAGAUAAGGAAGAAAAGGCUAUUCCUUUGUCAUUCCUGAAAUAAAUUAUAAUAUGGAGGAGAAAUAUGUGUUAUACCUCACAUGGUCCAACGAGCCAAGGGAAGAAUAUGGUGGUGAAGGCUGCGAAGUACUCCCGGGAAAUUCUUGAAGGCGGCAUCAUCACCUUGAUCUGCCCAACAGAAUGAACGCUGUGAGUCCAAACUAAGGGGCGGGCCCAGGAUUUGGGGUUUGGGUAUUCAACAUUUUUUAAGGAUGAAAUGUUUUUGACCGCCGCUGCCCGCUGCGCUACGUUGUCCCCAGCAACGCAUGUUGCUUAGGUCUCAUCGGCCAGAAGUGGAAAGGAUGCGGCCACAAGGGAAAGGGGAAGUGGAAUUGGUAUGGAUUGGUGCCGGUUGGGGGUUGCUAUUGGGCCUAGAAGAGGUGAAGUGAGCCAUUUGAGCACAAGAGGCAAUAUGAGAUCGGGAAGCCUGUAUUGUGACGUUAGAUCAUCUCCAAGAGACACCCUAAAUCAUCUCUCUCCACACCCUAUCCAAAUACUUGCUAUUUUAGAACCGGAUCUUAGACCCUCAACCUUCAAAUUUAUGGGUCAUAUUUACCUAAUAUGUCAAGGUUCAAACAAUAAAAUAUCCGGUACAAGGGAAGUACCAUGGCGACACAAGAAUACAAAGAGAAAUAAUAUUUUGGAUGAUCCUCUACUUAAAGGAUAUAGAGAGUUGGAGACUAGAAUUUAAGAAUUCUUUUAGAGAUACCCUUAUUUUCUAUUUUAAUACAUAUACAUGUUAUAUAUACUAUGUAUAUAAAUUUUGUUGCAAAAUUUUUUGGGUAUUCAGUUGAAUACCCUUGAAUCAAUACCAGGCCCGCCCCUGUGUGUUUGGGUCUAUGUAUGACUCAUUUUUCUUCUUCUAUCAAUACAAUGAUACGCAACUCUCCUGCGUGUUCGAGAAAAAAAAAUAGACAUUACUUUUCCAGAGCAUAAAAAUACUUGCCAUUGUGAGGAUGUAGCUGGGGAACGCCCAUUCCAGAGCGGUGGCCACAGUCUGCCACUGCUGAUCAACCCUGAACAGCCCGGAGAUGGUGAGGGCCGCCUCUAUCAGGCCUUCAUAGCCGUCCUUUCCGUUCUUCAGCCCUGCAUAUACACAUCCAUUGAAUCCACGCUGUGCUGGGAGAGAGGAUGAGAAAACUGGGAGGGCCAGCAUGGGGUUUGGUCUGGUAGGGGCGGAGGGCACUGCGGAGAACAGUGGAGGACACCGUGGCGGCCACUGUGCUGAUGACCGGACACCCAGUGCCACGACUCGGUGUCCGGUCCUGUUGCAGUCGAUCUAGGUCGGCCGUUUCAGAUCCGAUGGUUGAGGUUUAUGAUAAGGCGCGGAUUUACAGGGAUCUACUACAGCCUUAAUUUACUCUCUAAUGACUAGAGAAUCUUCUUCCAGCUAUUGUAGUAACUGAGUGGAAUGUAAAGGAUGCUUGAUUUUUAUAAACAGGUAGAUAUUACAAGAGGGUAAGUGGUUGAUUUUU